rnacentral:rRNA from 1 species
AGCGUACACGGUGGAUGCCCUGGCAGUCAGAGGCGAUGAAGGACGUGCUAAUCUGCGAUAAGCGUCGGUAAGGUGAUAUGAACCGUUAUAACCGGCGAUUUCCGAAUGGGGAAACCCAGUGUGAUUCGUCACACUAUCAUUAACUGAAUCCAUAGGUUAAUGAGGCGAACCGGGGGAACUGAAACAUCUAAGUACCCCGAGGAAAAGAAAUCAACCGAGAUUCCCCCAGUAGCGGCGAGCGAACGGGGAGCAGCCCAGAGCCUGAAUCAGUGUGUGUGUUAGUGGAAGCGUCUGGAAAGGCGCGCGAUACAGGGUGACAGCCCCGUACACAAAAAUGCACAUGCUGUGAGCUCGAUGAGUAGGGCGGGACACGUGGUAUCCUGUCUGAAUAUGGGGGGACCAUCCUCCAAGGCUAAAUACUCCUGACUGACCGAUAGUGAACCAGUACCGUGAGGGAAAGGCGAAAAGAACCCCGGCGAGGGGAGUGAAAAAGAACCUGAAACCGUGUACGUACAAGCAGUGGGAGCACAGAGCAAUCUGUGUGACUGCGUACCUUUUGUAUAAUGGGUCAGCGACUUAUAUUCUGUAGCAAGGUUAACCGAAUAGGGGAGCCGAAGGGAAACCGAGUCUUAACUGGGCGUUAAGUUGCAGGGUAUAGACCCGAAACCCGGUGAUCUAGCCAUGGGCAGGUUGAAGGUUGGGUAACACUAACUGGAGGACCGAACCGACUAAUGUUGAAAAAUUAGCGGAUGACUUGUGGCUGGGGGUGAAAGGCCAAUCAAACCGGGAGAUAGCUGGUUCUCCCCGAAAGCUAUUUAGGUAGCGCCUCGUGAAUUCAUCUCCGGGGGUAGAGCACUGUUUCGGCAAGGGGGUCAUCCCGACUUACCAACCCGAUGCAAACUGCGAAUACCGGAGAAUGUUAUCACGGGAGACACACGGCGGGUGCUAACGUCCGUCGUGAAGAGGGAAACAACCCAGACCGCCAGCUAAGGUCCCAAAGUCAUGGUUAAGUGGGAAACGAUGUGGGAAGGCCCAGACAGCCAGGAUGUUGGCUUAGAAGCAGCCAUCAUUUAAAGAAAGCGUAAUAGCUCACUGGUCGAGUCGGCCUGCGCGGAAGAUGUAACGGGGCUAAACCAUGCACCGAAGCUGCGGCAGCGACGCUGAUGCGUUGUUGGGUAGGGGAGCGUUCUGUAAGCCUGCGAAGGUGUGCUGUGAGGCAUGCUGGAGGUAUCAGAAGUGCGAAUGCUGACAUAAGUAACGAUAAAGCGGGUGAAAAGCCCGCUCGCCGGAAGACCAAGGGUUCCUGUCCAACGUUAAUCGGGGCAGGGUGAGUCGACCCCUAAGGCGAGGCCGAAAGGCGUAGUCGAUGGGAAACAGGUUAAUAUUCCUGUACUUGGUGUUACUGCGAAGGGGGGACGGAGAAGGCUAUGUUGGCCGGGCGACGGUUGUCCCGGUUUAAGCGUGUAGGCUGGUUUUCCAGGCAAAUCCGGAAAAUCAAGGCUGAGGCGUGAUGACGAGGCACUACGGUGCUGAAGCAACAAAUGCCCUGCUUCCAGGAAAAGCCUCUAAGCAUCAGGUAACAUCAAAUCGUACCCCAAACCGACACAGGUGGUCAGGUAGAGAAUACCAAGGCGCUUGAGAGAACUCGGGUGAAGGAACUAGGCAAAAUGGUGCCGUAACUUCGGGAGAAGGCACGCUGAUAUGUAGGUGAAGUCCCUCGCGGAUGGAGCUGAAAUCAGUCGAAGAUACCAGCUGGCUGCAACUGUUUAUUAAAAACACAGCACUGUGCAAACACGAAAGUGGACGUAUACGGUGUGACGCCUGCCCGGUGCCGGAAGGUUAAUUGAUGGGGUCAGCGCAAGCGAAGCUCUUGAUCGAAGCCCCGGUAAACGGCGGCCGUAACUAUAACGGUCCUAAGGUAGCGAAAUUCCUUGUCGGGUAAGUUCCGACCUGCACGAAUGGCGUAAUGAUGGCCAGGCUGUCUCCACCCGAGACUCAGUGAAAUUGAACUCGCUGUGAAGAUGCAGUGUACCCGCGGCAAGACGGAAAGACCCCGUGAACCUUUACUAUAGCUUGACACUGAACAUUGAGCCUUGAUGUGUAGGAUAGGUGGGAGGCUUUGAAGUGUGGACGCCAGUCUGCAUGGAGCCGGCCUUGAAAUACCACCCUUUAAUGUUUGAUGUUCUAACGUUGACCCGUGAUCCGGGUUGCGGACAGUGUCUGGUGGGUAGUUUGACUGGGGCGGUCUCCUCCUAAAGAGUAACGGAGGAGCACGAAGGUUGGCUAAUCCUGGUCGGACAUCAGGAGGUUAGUGCAAUGGCAUAAGCCAGCUUGACUGCGAGCGUGACGGCGCGAGCAGGUGCGAAAGCAGGUCAUAGUGAUCCGGUGGUUCUGAAUGGAAGGGCCAUCGCUCAACGGAUAAAAGGUACUCCGGGGAUAACAGGCUGAUACCGCCCAAGAGUUCAUAUCGACGGCGGUGUUUGGCACCUCGAUGUCGGCUCAUCACAUCCUGGGGCUGAAGUAGGUCCCAAGGGUAUGGCUGUUCGCCAUUUAAAGUGGUACGCGAGCUGGGUUUAGAACGUCGUGAGACAGUUCGGUCCCUAUCUGCCGUGGGCGCUGGAGAACUGAGGGGGGCUGCUCCUAGUACGAGAGGACCGGAGUGGACGCAUCACUGGUGUUCGGGUUGGUCAUGCCAAUGGCACUGCCCGGUAGCUAAAUGCGGAAGAGAUAAGUGCUGAAAGCAUCUAAGCACGAAACUUGCCCCGAGAUGAGUUCUCCCUGACUCCUUGA